rnacentral:rRNA from 1 species
GCAAAGCACUCCUACGGGAGGCAGCAGUGGGGAAUAUUGCACAAUGGGCGCAAGCCUGAUGCAGCCAUGCCGCGUGUAUGAAGAAGGCCUUCGGGUUGUAAAGUACUUUCAGCAGUGAGGAAGGUGGGUAUGUUAAUAGCAUACUCAUUUGACGUUAGCUGCAGAAGAAGCACCGGCUAACUCCGUGCCAGCAGCCGCGGUAAUACGGAGGGUGCGAGCGUUAAUCGGAAUUACUGGGCGUAAAGCGCAUGCAGGUGGUUUGUUAAGUCAGAUGUGAAAGCCCGGGGCUCAACCUCGGAAUUGCAUUUGAAACUGGCAAACUAGAGUACUGUAGAGGGGGUAGAAUUUCAGGUGUAGCGGUGAAAUGCGUAGAGAUCUGAAGGAAUACCGGUGGCGAAGGCGGCCCCCUGGACAGAUACUGACACUCAGAUGCGAAAGCGUGGGGAGCAAACAGGAUUAGAUACCCGGGUAG